rnacentral:sRNA from 2 species
CGGGGAAAACCACCCAAUACCUGAUGGAUGGAGGCGGGGGACCCGACCGGUCCGCCGCGAGCGGACCUGGGGCCCCCUCGGCCCCUUGGGGUGAAGCCGUAGGACGCACCGCGGUGUGCCGAGGCCGGGCAGUCUUCUUCAGCCCGAACCCGACGCUGACCUCGCAGGCGUAGACAGAGAGGAAUU